AGAGUUUGAUCAUGGCUCAGGAUGAACGCUAGCUACAGGCUUAACACAUGCAAGUCGAGGGGAAACGACAUCGAAAGCUUGCUUUUGAUGGGCGUCGACCGGCGCACGGGUGAGUAACGCGUAUCCAACCUGCCCAUCACUUGGGGAUAACCUUGCGAAAGUAAGACUAAUACCCAAUGAUAUCUCUAGAAGACAUCUGAAAGAGAUUAAGAUUAUCGGUGAUGGAUGGGAUGCGUCUGAUUAGCUUGUUGGCGGGGUAACGGCCACCAAGGCUACGAUCGAGUAGGGGUUCUGAGAGGAAGGUCCCCACAUUGGAACUGAGACACGGUCCAAACGUCCUACGGGAGGCA
rnacentral:rRNA from 1 species